CCUACGGGGGGCAGCAGUGAGGAAUAUUGGUCAAUGGACGCAAGUCUGAACCAGCCAUGCCGCGUGCAGGAAGCCGGCUCUAUGAGUUGUAAACUGCUUUUGUACGAGGGUAAACGCAGAUACGCGUAUCUGUCUGAAAGUAUCGUACGAAUAAGGCUCGGCUAACUCCGUGACAGCAGCAGCGGUAAUACGGAGGAUUCAAGCGUUAUCCGGAUUUAUUGGGUGUAAAGGGUGCGUAGGCGGUCGGAUAAGUUAGAGGUGAAAUCCCGAGGCUCAACUUCGGAAUUGCCUUUGAUACUGUUCGGAUAGAGAGUAGUUGCGGUAGGCGGAAUGUAUGGGGUAGCGGUGAAAUGCUUAGAGAUCAUACAGAACACCGAUUGCGAAGGCAGCUUACCAAGCUACUUCUGACGUUGAGGCACGAAAGCGUGGGGAGCAAACAGGAUUAGAUACCCUAGUAGUC
rnacentral:rRNA from 1 species